GACGAACGCUGGCGGCGCGCUUAACACAUGCAAGUCGAGCGAAGCGGCGGACGGGUGAGUAACACGUGAGUAACCUGCCUUAGACAUUGGGAUAGCCUCGGGAAACCGGGAUUAAUACCAAAUGGUCUAAGAUGUACUCGCGUCCCAUUAACUAGUUGGUGAGGUAACGGCCCACCAAGGCGACCAUGGGUAGCCGGCCUGAGAGGGUGAACGGACACAUUGGAAAUGAGAAACGGUAGAAACUCUACGGGAGGCAGCAGUGGGGAAUAGUGAACAAUGGAGGGAAAUCUGAUGCAGCGACGCCGAGUGAACGAAGAAGGCUGUAGAGUCGUAAAGUUUGUUUAUAUGGGAAGCGGUACCAUAAGAAAAAGCCCCGGCUAACUACGUGCAAGCAGCCGCGGUAAUU
rnacentral:rRNA from 1 species